UGGUGUCCUUAGUUCUGGAACUCUGUCCUGGUUCAAAAGGUACUGCCUGCUGUCUUCUCUGUUGCUGAUUAGUUGGGACAAAUUUUCUGAGAGAGGAAGUGCCACAAGACGCUUGACAGCUGUGACAUUCAUGGGCAACGCAUUUGAAAAAGAAGGCAUAAAUAUUCAGAGACAUAUUAGAAUGCUGUUCAAUAAUAUCUUUCCCUUGGGUAACUGAAGGAAAAACGGAUAAAGGAAUGAAGACUAAAAAAUGUAUGACCUCAUGAUAUCUUUAUUUGUGACAGUAGAAAGGAUGAUAUGCAACAUACAACACAAUGAAAAAAAUAGAUUAAAAAAAAUAACGUAACCAAAAAGUAAUCUGUAAUCUUU